CCCUUAGAUGUUCGGGGCCGCACGCGCGCUACACUGAAGGACUCAGCGUGUCUCUCCCCCUAUCCCGAAAGGGAUGGGCAACCCGUUGAACCUCCUUCGUGCUAGGGAUUGGGGUUUGCAAUUAUCCCCCAUGAACGAGGAAUUCCCAGUAAGCGCGAGUCAUCAGCUCGCGUUGAUUACGUCCCUGCCCUUUGUACACACCGCCCGUCGCUCCUACCGAUCGAAGAGUUAGGUGAAUUGUUUUGAUCGAUAAGAUUUGACUAUGGUCAACUCUCGUUGUGAAAUUCUGUGAACCUGACUGUUUAGAGGAAGGAAAAGUCGUAACA
rnacentral:rRNA from 1 species